rnacentral:rRNA from 1 species
UACGGAGGGGGCAAGCGUUGUUCGGAAUUACUGGGCGUAAAGGGCGCGCAGGCGGCUGCUCAAGUCAGGCGUGAAAGGCCUGGGCUCAACCCGGGAAUUGCGCUUGAGACUGGGCUGGCUUGAGUGCGGGGGAGGAUGGUGGAAUUCCCAGUGUAGAGGUGAAAUUCGUAGAUAUCUGGAGGAACACCGGUGGCGAAGGCGGCAUCCUGGACCAACACUGACACUGAGGAGCGAAAGCCAGGGGAGCAAACGGG